UACGGAGGGGGCAAGCGUUGUUCGGAAUUACUGGGCGUAAAGGGCGCGCAGGCGGCUGCUCAAGUCAGGCGUGAAAGGCCUGGGCUCAACCCGGGAAUUGCGCUUGAGCCUGGGCUGGCUUGAGUGCGGGAGAGGAUGGUGGAAUUCCCAGUGUAGAGGUGAAAUUCGUAGAUAUUGGGAAGAACACCGGUGGCGAAGGCGGCCAUCUGGACCGCAACUGACGCUGAGGCGCGAAAGCGUGGGGAGCAAACAGG
rnacentral:rRNA from 1 species